GCAAUCGACGGAUGCUCGCGCCACCAGCAAUCUGACGUGUGUCCGGACCUGACCUACUUUUUCUUCAAUCCAACAUAGCCAUGCGCGACGUCCGUCCCUCACUCUCUUCGAUUCUGGACUGCUCGCGCCUCUCGCCUCCGUGUUCACAUCGCCCUACCCGCCGUACCACAUGCCAGACGCUGGCCACCGGCUCCGCCGCCGCAGCGACUACAUCGGGGGUGUGCAGCCUCCCAUCAGACUCCCGCCAGCGCCAAACCCUUCGACUCGGCGAUGGCCACACCGGAGAAGAAGUCAUACCCACCUGCCAUGGUCGCGGAGGAGGUGAGGGUGUGAGGCUGACUGGCGAUUGGACCCGUCCCCCCAUUCCACCCGCCGUCGCCGACGUGUCUGUCCAAGGUGAGUCCGCCAACGAGUACAUAUAAAAUUCAUCAGGGAAGGUUGUUCGCCCAAAGCCUUACCAGACUCGUGACUAUCCACAAAAGAAUUAUUUUUAUAUAACUGAAUUUUGUGUUGUAUUUUGUACUUUGUAGUAAUGACAGAGGGAAAACAAUACUAGGAUUAGAGAUCCUAAGCUACUAACUGAUCUUAUAAAAUCAGUCCGUGUACAUUUGUCUCAGUGUUGCUGAAUUUUGCUUAGCUUGGCAUCUGGAAACUGGUUCGUCCCUUCUUAUAUGAGGCCAGCUAUUUUCAACUCAACUCUGAAUGAAGUUUCAGAGGCAGGAACACAAGCACAAACUACUGUCCAGAUUGACGAGGAGCCAGGUUCUGAUGAAGACGACGAUCUUCCACCACUUGAAGCAAACACCAACAUGAAUAGACCAUAUGAACUAAUUUCUCAACGGAACAACUAAUUGAAUUUUUUGUCCAGUGCAAGGUAUUAGUUGUGUAACAAAUUGUUAAAUUCUCACAUGUCAGAUAGUGGUGCAUUCCAUGGCUUGAUCUGUCUCUUUUUACUCUAGGCCAGCGGCAGACGCGCUGCCUGCCUCCCCUGGCUUGCUCCUGGCCAUCUAGCGUCUGUCAUGUGUUCUGCCUGAUGGGUUUUCUCCUUUUUUGCAUAUGCCAUAUGUUCUGCCCAUCUGUUAAUUGCCGCCGCUGUUUUCAGGAAGGUUUAGCGAUUGAGGCUGAGUUUGGGCAGACCUCAUCAUUGUUAGUUUGUUUGUUAUAGAGUAAGCUAGCCCAGGGGAAAAAUAGUGAACCUGGCAGAUGAUGGUAUGGAGUAACCUGUUGUUCCAUUCAAUAGGACAAUCUGAGAUUGUAGAGAUGUGGUUUCUGCACUUAAUUUUUGGGCGACAAUUUCAAGGGAGUAACGUGGUAGUGAUUUCUCUCCCUUUAUUAUGAUGAAGUUGUGGCUUGUAUCAAUGUCGUAUCUGCAAUUUGAAAUAUGUAUAUAUGCCAUGUCCGAUUAGCAACACAAGACAUUGGGAUCUCCAAAUUUCACGGCAUUGAUUCAGGUGUGUGCACUUCUUUUCUUGUUCCGUGCUUGUUUUAUACCUUCUUUUUGAAUUGAUGAUUUUUCAUAGGAUAUAAUUCUCUGGCCAGUAGACUGGCCUACUAACUUCAUUUAUGGACAAAAAUCAAGGGUGUACAUCAUCCUUAUGGCUUAUCUGGAAAUGGAUUGCCAUGUUUCUCAAUUCUCUCCCAGCUACUACAACCUACCCUUCACGCUUUCCUCAAGGUAUGAAUCUGCUUCAGGACCUCCUAUUUAUGUGCCAUUGGUUAAUUAGAGUUCUUAUGUUGUUUUAGAUGGCUGGUUCUGCUUUCCUGUUUACGAAUUAUGCGUCGUCGAUAGGGCGUCCGUAAGGGCGCCUCUGACCACCUACUGUGUGCUUCGCUACAUUUUCAGCCCACCGUGUGCCAGCCCACGCAUGCUUGUUUAAAACGCGCGGCGGGUGUGCGCGUUAGUCGUUGGUUUCUUGUGCGCUGUGCUGCCGCGCUUGCAUAUGCUCAGACUUGCAGGCAAUCUGUCGUGUGCGCGGCUGGGCUGGACCUUCAAAUGCAGAUGCACAGCAGACGGAGUGUACAGGUAAGUGUAUAUGCUGUGGGCAGGUGGUGACUACUGACAUCGUGCACAGGGUUUCGUCGAGUCGGAACGGACCUGCCGGGUUUCGUUUCUUCCAAGCUUGGGCAUCUCAAGCAUGCAUGGAUGCUGAGCUGUCUGACGCUUUAAAAUCGCCUGCGGGUAGGAGAUGAUGGGAAUGGGAGCAGCAAAGCAAAGAACGAUCAGGCGGCGGGCCAUUGCUUAAACUUGGUUGCUUCGGACGAUAUGAUGCGCGACGAGUCUACAUGCAAGAUCGGUUGGCACUGUGGCUCAAAUUAAAGGCUGGUUUAAAGCAUGCAUCAUUGGUGUUAGAUACAGAAAGGAAAAGAAAAAACUGGCACGGCAGGCGCGAUACAUAUACACUGCGCCCGUCUCUUCGGUGGACACUGAAGAGGAGCUGGUGAAUGGACGGGAAAAAAAGAAUUCUAUGCAUACGGAAUGCAAAUCUAUUGGACAGAAAAAGAUUCUAUACAUACCAAAUACAAACAUAUUAUGAGUUACAUUGCAGGCCCACACGAACAAAAAUUAC